rnacentral:lncRNA from 1 species
ACAAAUUGAAAGAAUCAAAGUUUAUUCAAUUACUUAGUUGUGAGUUACAACAUGUGACUUGCUUACAACAAGUAUCUCAACUAAAUACACUUAACAACUUUGCUACUAGCAUUUCAAGUAACAGUUAAAAAACUAACCAUACUAAUAGUUAACUAACUCUAACAGUUAACUAACCACUUAUUAACCAACAUUGAAUUAAUACACCACCUAAUUCAUGUUGGAUAAAGCCCUCAUACCCAUCAUGCUUUUCAACUCAACAAAUCUGCUUCUCUUCAAUGGUUUGCGCUAAUUGCAACUCUGUCUUGCAAUAUUUCAGCUCCAACCUUCAUGUAUAACACUAUUAGUCUAUCUCUUGAUCACUAGUUUUCGUCCCUUAUCUUUUUUGCACGUUGGAUCUAAUCUAAGUGGCACUUACCAUCCCUAAAGCUUUUUAACUGUCCCUUCUCCAAGAGAGACACUCCUCUUAUUUGGCAUGCAUUAAAAAAUCCAACAGUUAGUCUCCUCCCUUCUCAUAAAAUGUUGUUUUGGAUAUAGUGCAAAGUUGCAUAAUGCAUGCAUUGAAAAAUAUUAUUGUUAAAACCUAAACAAUGCUAGACCUAAUGAUGUUGAUUAUUUGCUUUGUAAUAAUACUAAUUAAUUAUACUACAUUGGUGAUAAGAAUAGGGUAAUCUGUAUCCUAAGGUCUAGACACAACAAAUAUAUUGUUUUAGACCGCAGGAUGCAGAUUAUCCAAUCCUUACCCAAUAUCUCUUUAUUAUGAAAGCAAUGAACUAAUAAAGUUUAUUGAAAUAGUUAUGUCUAGUUUUCUUAAUUGAUAACAAAGAUGUAAUCCACUUCCUGAGGAGUAGGUACAACAAACACAUACCCCCUAUUGUCUUAUUUAUAACCAAAUUUUUAGUUUUUAGGAUCAUUCAAUAAAUGAUGUAUAUAUGUGGUAUAUACAUCAUUUUUUGAAUUAAUGUAAAAAAUAAAAUAUUGCUUAUAAUUAAGGUUGGAGGGAGUUUAUGUUGAUCUAUACAUCAGGAUGCAAAUUACCAAUUCUUGAACCAAUACCCAAGAAAUAUUUAUUGAGACAAUGUUUUUUUUUUCUUAUUGACCCAAUGGGUAAAUAAAGGAACAUGUGUGUAAAUG